GCUAGGAUGAACGCUGGCGGCGUGCCUAACACGUGCAAGUCGAACGAAGCAUUGAUCCGGAUCAUUCGGUGUGAAGGAGCUUAUGACUUAGUGGCGGACGGGUGAGUAACGCGUGGGCAACCUGCCCUUAACCGGGGGACAACAGUUGGAAACGGCUGCUAAUACCGCAUAAGCGCACGGAACCGCAUGGUUCAGUGUGAAAAAAUUCCGGUGGUUAAGGAUGGGCCCGCGUUGGAUUAGGUAGUUGGUGCGGUAACGGCGCACCAAGCCGACGAUCCAUAGCCGACCUGAGAGGGUGACCGGCCACAUUGGGACUGAGACACGGCCCAGACUCCUGCGGGAGGCAGCAGUGGGGAAUAUUGCACAAUGGGGGAAACCCUGAUGCAGCCGACGCCGCGUGAGUGAAGAAGUAUUUCGGUAUGUAAAGCUCUUUCGGCAGGGAAGAAGAUGACGGUACCUGCAGAAGAAGCCCCGGCUAACUACGUGCCAGCAGCUGC
rnacentral:rRNA from 1 species